UUUCCGUAGGUGAACCUGCGGAAGGAUCAUUAUUGUAUAGCCGAGGUGCGAAGGCUGUCGCUGACCCGAAAGGUCGUGCACGCCCGAGUGCCCUCACACACAUCCAUCUCACCCCUAUGUGCACCACCGCGUGGGUCCCCCUUUGGCUUGUUCGGAGGGGGGCUUACGUUUUCACACAAACUUUGUAUGCAGUGUAGAAUGUAUUUUUUGUUUUUGCGAUCACGCAAUCAAUACAACUUUCAACAACGGAUCUCUUGGCUCUC
rnacentral:misc_RNA from 1 species